CAACCAUUACGCCAGCAUCCUAGCCGAAGCGCGGACCUCAGUCCCGGCUGGCCGUAUUACACCCUGGGCUAUAACACCUCCACCGAAGUGGAGGCCACAUUCCCAGAGCCUUUAUCCGGCCGCCGAAACUGAUGCUGGCCUGUCCAAACUGAGUAAACCGGUCAGAAGACCGGCCGAACAGUUUAAACAAGUCUGAUUGCAAGCGCUUCCCUUUCAACAAUUUCACGUGCUUUUUAACUCUCUUUCCAAAGUGCUUUUCAUCUUUCGAUCACUCUACUUGUGCGCUAUCGGUCUCUCGCCAAUAUUUAGCUUUAGAAGAAAUUUACCUCCCAUUUAGAGCUGCAUUCCCAAACAACUCGACUCGUCGAAGGAGAUUUACAUAGGGUGCCAUUUCCUGUCACAUACGGGAUUCUCACCCUCUAUGACGUCCUGUUCCAAGGAACUUAGACAGGCGGCUUCCCCAAAUCAUCCUCUACAAAUUACAAUGCGAACCCGAAGGCUAGCUUUCAAAUUUGAGCUGUUGCCGCUUCACUCGCCGUUACUAGGGCAAUCCCUG
rnacentral:rRNA from 2 species